rnacentral:rRNA from 1 species
AAAGGCUCAAAUUUGGAAAUCUAGUACCUCCGGUGCUCGAGUUGUAAUUUGAAGAUAGUUUUCUGGUACGUGGCCCUUGUCUAUGUUCCUUGGAACAGGACGUCAUAGAGGGUAAGAAUCCCGUCUGAUGGGGUGUCCAGUGCUUUGUAGAUUUCUAUCGAAGAGUCGAGUUGUUUGGGAAUGCAGCUCUAAGUGGGUGGUAAAUUCCAUCUAAAGCUAAAUACUGGCGAGAGACCGAUAGCGAACAAGUACAGUGAUGGAAAGAUGAAAAGAACUUUUGAAAAGAGAGUGAAAAAGUACCGUGAAAUUGUUGAAAGGGAAGGGUAUUGGAUCAGACUUGGUGUUUUGUGAUUAUCUUCCCUUCUUGGGUUGUGCACUCGCAUUUCACUGGGCCAGCAUCGGUUCGGAUGGCAAGAUAAUGGCUUGGGAACGUGGCACUCUUCGGAGUGUGUUAUAUCCCUUGUUGAUGUUGCCUAUCUGUGCCGAGGAUAUCAAUUACCGGACUAGCAUGUCGCUGUAACGAUACUCUGC